rnacentral:rRNA from 1 species
GACGAACGCUGGCGGCGUGCCUAAUACAUGCAAGUAGAACGCUGAAGGAGGAGCUUGCUUCUCUGGAUGAGUUGCGAACGGGUGAGUAACGCGUAGGUAACCUGCCUGGUAGCGGGGGAUAACUAUUGGAAACGAUAGCUAAUACCGCAUAAUAGCAGUUAUUGCAUGAUAACUGUUUGAAAGGUGCAAUUGCACCACUACCAGAUGGACCUGCGUUGUAUUAGCUAGUUGGUGGGGUAACGGCUCACCAAGGCGACGAUACAUAGCCGACCUGAGAGGGUGAUCGGCCACACUGGGACUGAGACACGGCCCAGACUCCUACGGGAGGCAGCAGUAGGGAAUCUUCGGCAAUGGACGGAAGUCUGACCGAGCAACGCCGCGUGAGUGAAGAAGGUUUUCGGAUCGUAAAGCUCUGUUGUAAGAGAAGAACGAGUGUGGGAGUGGAAAGUUCACACUGUGACGGUAUCUUACCAGAAAGGGACGGCUAACUACGUG